AAAGUCGUAACAAGGUUUCCGUAGGUGAACCUGCGGAAGGAUCAUUCACUAAAGUGUUUAUGGCACUUUCAAAUCCAUUACCCACCUUGUGUGCAUUGUCGGGGGAGGAUUCGAUCUCCAAUCUCCUUUCUCUCUUUCUGGGAGGGAGAGGAAAAUGGGGUGAGGGAUUCUCCUUUUUACACAUACCCAUGUUCUUCAGUAUCAGUCUACUUAUAGAGUGUAAAAAACUCGAAUACAACUUUCAACAACGGAUCUCUUGGCUCUC
rnacentral:misc_RNA from 1 species